GUUCAGAUAGUGCAGUGGUCAGCACGUCAGGUGUCCGCUGGUUCUGGGCAUCGGAGGGGAUGGUAAAUGCUGCCGUCUCGUUUUGCAGGGCUUGACAGUUCCUGAAACCCUUAGUUUCGAAUCUGAGUCUGGGCA